rnacentral:lncRNA from 1 species
AGUUUGGUAAAGGUUGCUCUUACAACAUCUGUCACAGCUUUGGAAAGGAAGGCAAGAGGACAGACUAUACACCUUUCAGUUGCCUGAAGAUUAUUCUAUCCAAUCCACCAAGCCAAGGGGAUUAUCAUGGGUGCCCAUUCCGUCACAGUGAUCCAGAGCUGCUGAAGCAAAAGUUGCAGUCAUACAAGAUCUCUCCUGGAGGGAUAAGCCAGAUUUUGGAUUUAGUAAAGGGGACACAUUACCAGGUAGCCUGUCAAAAAUACUUUGAGAUGAUACACAAUGUGGAUGAUUGUGGCUUUUCUUUGAAUCAUCCUAAUCAGUUCUUUUGUGAGAGCCAAAGUAUUCUAAAUGGUGGUAAAGACAUAAAGAAGGAACCUAUCCAACCAGAAACUCCUCAACCCAAACCAAGUGUCCAGAAAACCAAGGAUGCAUCAUCUGCUCUGGCCUCUUUAAAUUCCUCUCUGGAAAUGGAUAUGGAAGGACUAGAAGAUUACUUUAGUGAAGAUUCUUAGGCAGUUUUCUAACCCAUUUUCCUCAAUAGCCUGUUUCCUGUUUUUAAGAUUUUGCCUUUGUUGUUGAAAAAGGGUUUCACUCUGUCACCAAGGCUUAGUGCAGUGACACAAUUACAGCUGAUUGCAGCCUUGACCUUCCCAGCUCAGGUGAUCCUGCUACCUCAGCCUCCCAAGUAGUUGGGACCACAGGUGUGUACCCCAUAUCCAACUAAUUUUUUUCAAUUUUUUUUUGUAGAGGUGAGGGUCUCCCUAUGUUGCCCAGGCAGAUCUCAGACUCCUGGACUCAAGCGAUCCUCACACCUCAGCCUCCCAGAGUGCUGGGAUUACAGUUGUGAGCCACUGUGCCUGGUCUUUCUUUUUUUAACCUUUUUGUUUAACUUCUCUCUUCAUUGCAUCCCAAUCCAUCUACAGGCAUGCACACUUAUUAGGAAAGCAGGUUUGAGGUAACAACAGAGACUUUCACUAUAUUUUACUUUGACAGAAGGAAAGAGGAAGAGUUUCUAUUAAAAUCUGUCAUUUGAGUGAUGUCAUUUAAGUCCUAUUUUAGGAGAUAAAAACAGCUUUGGGGACUGGUUAAAGUCCCCCAGAAACUACAAUAAAGAAUAACUUUUGUUUUAACUCUUAAUCACUUUGUAAUUUUGACUCAAUCCUUUUCUGGACCAUUUUUGUUAAUAAAUGUCAAAGUGUACAUGACAGUGUCUGCGUAUAAUUGGGAGAGUCUUAUGUCAUAACAGAUUGGACAUUACUUCAGUUUUAAAGUGGUAGUUUGAAGUAUCCAACACAUUGCUGAUCACUAAUGAAUAUUUUAAACUUUUCUUUACCUUUUUUUAAGAGUUGACCUAUUUGUGGUUAUUCUACAUCAGGCACCAGACUCUCCUGAGUGAACUGUGACUUGGGAAUUAAAAUAAAGUAUAGCCAGUUAUAUUUAUUAAGGAAUAAUAGGGAUAUUUUAUUAUGUAAAAU